UACGACUACAUAUCAGGCAUAUCAAUAAGCGGAGGAAAAGAAACUAACUAGGAUUCCCUCAGUAACGGCGAGUGAAGCGGGAAGAGCUCAAAUUUGAAAUCUUCAAGGUUUUACCUUGACGAAUUGUAGUUUAAAGAAGUGUUUUCUGUUGGAGUUUUGGUAAAAGUUCUUUGGAAUAGGACAUCAUAGAGGGUGAGAAUCCCGUAUUUGACCAUUACUUUCAGCUGUGUGAUACACUUUCAAAGAGUCGGAUUGUUUGGGAAUGCAGUCCAAAAUGGGUGGUAAAUUUCAUCUAAAGCUAAAUAUUGGCGAGAGACCGAUAGCGAACAAGUACCGUGAGGGAAAGAUGAAAAGAACUUUGAAAAGAGAGUUAAACAGUACGUGAAAUUGUCAAAAGGGAAGCGUUUGACACCAGUGUUGUUUUCUCGAAAAUCAAUUAAAAAGUAUGGGAUUUUGUAUUGUUAAGACCUUAUCAGCUUACGGUACUUUUUUCUUAUUCUUUUUAAUGCACUUUUCGUUUAACAAGUCAACAUCAAUUUCUUUUGUUGUAAAAGAGUCAUUGGAAGGUGGCUUUCACUUCGGUGAAAGUGUUUAUAGCCUUUGGCUUCUGCAAUCGGAGAGAUUGAGGUCUGCAGCGUAGAUCCUUCGGGGUUAGAUACGUAGAUGCUAAGUUAUAGUUUUUCAUAGACAACUUGUUGACUAUGAUUAAUCAUGUAGCUUACUCGUUUGCGCUAUUUUACCUACGCUUAGGAUGUUGAUCUCUCACAGUCGAGC
rnacentral:rRNA from 1 species